rnacentral:rRNA from 1 species
UACGUAGGGUGCGAGCGUUAAUCGGAAUUACUGGGCGUAAAGCGUGCGUAGGCGGUUCGUUAAGUCAGCUGUGAAAGCCCCGGGCUCAACCUGGGAACCGCGCUUGAGACUGGCAUGCUCGAGUUCGGGAGAGGAUGGUGGAAUUCCCAGUGUAGAGGUGAAAUUCGUAGAUAUUGGGAAGAACACCGAUGGCGAAGGCGGCUCACUGGCCCGGUGACGUG